AUACGGAGGAUGCAAGCGUUAUCCGGAUUUAUUGGGUUUAAAGGGUGCGUAGGCGGUUUGCUAAGCGGGAGGUGAAAUGCCGGCGCUCAACGUCGGAAGUGCCUCCCGAACUGGUGGACUGGAAUGACUCUGCCGUGGGAGGAAUGUGUAGUGUAGCGGUGAAAUGCUUAGAGAUUACACAGAACACCGAUUGCGAAGGCAUCUCACGAAGGGUUGAUUGACGCUGAGGCACGAAAGCGUGGAGAUCAAACAGGAUUAGAUACCCUGGUAGUCCACGCAGUAAACGAUGAUGGCUAACCGCUGGUUUUUUCGGAUCAGUGGCCAAGCGAAAGCGAUAAGCCAUCCACCUGGGGAGUACGACCGCAAGGUUGAAACUCAAAUGAAUUGACGGGG
rnacentral:rRNA from 1 species